rnacentral:rRNA from 1 species
UGGGGAAUAUUGCACAAUGGGCGCAAGCCUGAUGCAGCCAUGCCGCGUGUAUGAAGAAGGCCUUCGGGUUGUAAAGUACUUUCAGCGGGGAGGAAGGGAGUAAAGUUAAUACCUUUGCUCAUUGACGUUACCCGCAGAAGAAGCACCGGCUAACUCCGUGCCAGCAGCCGCGGUAAUACGGAGGGUGCAAGCGUUAAUCGGAAUUACUGGGCGUAAAGCGCACGCAGGCGGUUUGUUAAGUCAGAUGUGAAAUCCCCGGGCUCAACCUGGGAACUGCAUUCGAAACUGGCAGGCUAGAGUCUUGUAGAGGGGGGUAGAAUUCCAGGUGUAGCGAUGAAAUGCGUAGAGAUCUGGAGGAAUACCGGUGGCGAAGGCGGCCCCCUGGACAAAGACUGACGCUCAGGUGCGAAAGCGUGGGGAGCAAACAGG